UGCAACGUGAUGACGUACUGUUGAUGUUGCUCCCCAGCAGCAUGGCGGUUUGUGUGGUUCACUACACGUAACAGAACCGCGAAUAAUUUUGUCGCCGGGAUAAGAAACGUUUACAGUCCCGGGCAGGCCGUGAGAUGGAUGGGGUACACCUGGAGUUCCCGGCCUUGCCCUCUUCCAGGGAGGAUGCUGGGGAUUGGAUGUAUCCAAUGAGACGAGCAAUGCAGGAGAUACUGCCUGGCUUGUACUUGGGCCCAUAUUCUGCCGCUAUGAAAAGUAAGCUUCCCAUUCUUGAAGAAAAUGGAAUAACUCACAUUAUAUGUGUACGGCAAGAUAUUGAAGCAAACUUCAUCAAGGCAAAUUUCCAAGAGAAAUUUAGGUAUUUAAUUUUGGAUAUUGCUGAUAAUCCAGUGGAAAAUAUAAUACGAUAUUUCCCUGUGACUAAAGAAUUCAUUGAUGGAUGCUUGAAAAAUGGAGGAAAAGUUCUUCUACAUGGAAAUGCAGGUAUUUCUCGAAGUGCAGCCUUGGUGAUAGCAUAUGUUAUGGAAACAUUUGGAGUUAAGUAUAGGGAUGCCUUUACCUAUGUUCAGGAAAGGAGAUUUUGUAUUAAUCCAAAUGCUGGAUUUGUCCAUCAGUUACAGGAAUAUGAAGCCAUUUAUUUAGCAAAAUUGACAAUAAAGAUGAUGUCACCACUCCAACUGGGCAGAUCUGUUUCUGCACAAGUUGUUCUCAGGAUGUGAGCGCUACUGGAAAUGCAGCAUUUAUCACCCAUCCUUAAUUGCCCUGAGAAGGCCUUCUCCUUUUAACUGCUGGCAAUCCUUCUGCUGAUGAUAUUCACACAAAAGUGUUAGGAACAUUGAAAAGAACACUGGAAGAUGAUGAUGAUUUUCCAAAUAUGCAGGUGGCUGUAGCUCAUGAUGGGUAACCUGUAACUACAGAAUUGCUUGUACUGGACAUGAUUGCUGUAUUAAAUAUAAGUGAAUAGAAGGAUGAAGUGUUAUUGAAGAUAAUGAAUACUAGAAGUUGAUAUUACACAGCACAUUUACUUUAUUUCCAUUUCUCAGCUUUGUCUGGCUACUUCUGAGGAAGUGAUGCUGGAACAGAAAACUUGCCCUUUGAGAACAACCUGGAGCAACAUAUGCCUGUGAAAUUGUAUAAUAGUGAUUUAAUUCUGACCAGGAAGAGGAGCAAAAUGAUUUUUUGAUGGAUUUACAAGUCUUCAUACGCUAAUUUUACAUUUUUUUUUACCAAGACUGCCAUUUUGACAGUUAAUAAGUACGCAUGUGCUAAUACAUUGAUGCACUUUUGAUACUUGAAUUUUGAUUGUAUGUAAGUUUGAUAGGGAAAUAAUGCACUGUGUGCUUGAUGUCAGACCCAUACAUGCAAUUUAUGUUACAAAGUGUUAAUCUUUUUGUGUAAUUUAUUAAAACUUUCAAUAAAGUUUUUUUCUGAUUAAUUUGUUAGUACGAUAACUGCAUCCUAUUUCUAAUAAAUCCUUUACUAACCCAUCUUGAAGAAUGGUUAACAGUUUAAUGGUGUAUCCUGCACCUUGCAUUUUCUUUUCCACUUAUGUCACCAACUGUAAAACUUCAAUUUCUCUCAAUUAAGGUAGGUCUGACUAAUCUAUCUUCAGUCAUACUUAAAAUGUGCUUUAAUUUCCAGUACCAAACAUUUUAGGAAAUCAUCUUCAAUAUUUGUUUAUACAGGUAGUCCCAGAGUUAUGAAUGUCCGACUUACGAACCGAGAAAGGAGAAUGCCAUUCGCGAUUUUAAGUCAUUGCUGUUAACACUGUGUUGAGUGUUUAACUUUCUAUUUGGCUUAAAUUUUUCUUAGUAAGAUUCAUCCUGAUCCCACCGUGCCCACCCCACCCCACCCCCGAAGUUCUGGUCCGCUGGUGGCACAGUGAGAUCAGCACCAGGCUGGAGAACAGAGGUUUCAGAGUUCGACAGAGUUCGAUGCUUCCGUGCGGGGUUGAUGUGAAGCGCGCAACUUGACCUCAUUAAAAACACUGCAACUUCGUUUAAAUUCUAACACAGAAUAUAGUGGAGGAUCAAAUACCCAAACCCAACACAGCCCCCACUUGUCCCAUUUAACCUGUCUCAGUGCAGUGAAGUUUAGGACCCAGCUGUGCUCGGGACCCACCGCGUUUCUGUUCCAUUUACAGGAAUCAAUUGCGAUUGAAAAUUAAGUGGAAAUAAGUGUUUGGAAAGAGGUGAAACGUCAUUGGAAAAUUGAUAGACUACAGUUGGUCAACAAUUGGAACAAUUUUAAAGGAUAACAGAUAAAGUGAGGAUGGAGCAUGUGAAAGGCCCUGCCCUAAUGAAAGCUACAAUUAUUAUUAAGCAAUGCAGAGGUUUAAUUAUUGGAAUACAUAUGUUUCUUAAGUGUUAUAUUCAUAGAAAGGUAAAAUAUGUACUAUAUACCAAGACAAAUGUUUGACUAACUGACGCUAAAUACCGGAUGUAUCCGACUUAUGUACAAAUCCAACUUAAAGAUGGACUCAGGAACAGAACUCGAAGGUAACCUGGGGACUGCCUGUAUACACAAAUUACAACAAUCUGUGCAAAAGUUGGCCUAAAAUGGAUUAAUGCUCAAGUUCAAAUGAGUAUUAUAUUUACAAUUAUACCAAUAUUAGAUAUUUUAUUUGCCCUUUGCACAAUGGUACAAUUAAAUAAAUACAAUAAAAAUGUAUUUACCCAAUACUAAAUAAAGUUAUUGAAAAAAAUUAAAUUAAAUAACCAUCUCUAAAUUAAAACUGUCCUUAAGAGCAGCCAUAAAUUCCAAAAAGCACACAUUUUGUUUGUUUCAUUUAACAGAUACUUUUUAAAAAUUAAUGAUAAACACAUACAAAAUGCUGGAGGAAUUCCUGAGAUCCCCAGCAUUUUGUGUGCGUUGCUUGAAUUUACAUCAUCUGCAGAUUUUCUCUUGUUCAAGAUUACAAGAUUUGGCUCCAUUAAAGGAUCAUUGAACAAAAUAAGGCUGAAAUAUGCCCUUUCUUGGUCCUGUUAAAUAGUGCCCAAAAUAACUGAGAAAUUCAGCAUACAUAGACUUUUUACAGCAUUUUUCACCAACCAUUAGUACAUAAGCAUGCCCACAUUAAAAGUACCAGGUUUCUAUAACUUAACAGACACAGUAGUACAAGUAUAGCUUAACUAUUUAGCCAAAAUAACUCAAAAUUAAACUUGUUUAUUUUCACCAUAACAGCUUUUACUCUUAAAUCUUAUUUUCCUAGUGGAAAUAGUGCUUUGACAAGCUAUAAACUACAUACAUUUAUGCACUUUCAAAGUCCAAUUGUUAUUUCAGCAUUUCAAAGACUAUUGCAUAUUUUCUGUAACUGUACAUUAUGGGGAUUAAAUUAAGCAUUUCCAUUUCAUGCUGAAUUUAUAAAACAGGAGAAAUUAACAGCAUUAACUUACAAAACUCAUUAUUGAAAUCUGUACAAACCUUAGGGCAAAUACAUUUUCCUCAUGUAAUCUCAAAUUCAGUAGGAAUAUCAAAUUUAAGUCAUUGGCUCCAUUUCAACUAAAAAUAUUGUUAAACAUGGAUUUUAAAAAAGUCAUCAAGCAGUUCCAAAUAUGUGUAGAACUAUAAUGCUAAUCCCAUAAAAAUUAGGGAGGAAUUAGCUAUUGAAUCAAUGUAAUUUGAGAAAACAUGGGUAAAAUUAAUUAUCACCUGCUCCAUGAGGUGAUACUCAUGAAGUUCAUACAAAUAUAGCAUUUACAUAUGCAAACAAGAUAUUCUUCUGUAAACAAUAUAAAAUGUGUGCUUUGGAUUAAUCAGUUUUAACUACAAGACGAAUUAAAAUCUGACCUGAUUCAUAAGUUACAUCGAUGUACAAUUUUAAUGCCUAGAUUUAGUUACCCUGCACCUUAUGAUCGGAUCAGCAGCAAAGUAAACAAGUUACUUUGUGGUCUGCCUAUAGUUACAGAUACACAUUCAGGUCAGUAUACAAAGCUCCAUGAAGGCAUUGUUUCACAUGCUAAUGAAAAAUCUCAUCAAUAUAAAAGAAA